rnacentral:lncRNA from 1 species
GGCCUCUCCUCCCUACCAUUACAAGUCACCACCGCCUCCUUCUCCUUCUCCUCCAGUGCACUACUCACCACCUAAGCAUCCCUACCACCCUAAGUCACCACCACCUCCUGUGUACGCACCACCUAAGCAUCCCUACCACCCUAAGUCACCACCACCUCCUGUGUACCCACCACCUAAGCAUCCCUACCACCCCAAGUCACCACCACCAUCACCAAAGCCUUACCACUACAAAUCCCCACCACCACCUCCUGCUCCAGUGCACUCACCACCCCCACCUAAGGAGCCAUACCACUACAAGUCCCCACCACCACCACCCAAGAAGCCCUACCACUACAAAUCUCCCCCACCACCUCCUCCUCCAGUUCACUCACCACCACCACCCAAGGAGCCUUACCACUACAAAUCUCCACCACCACCACCCAAGAAACCUUACUAUUACAAGUCUCCUCCACCACCACCAAAGAAGCCUUACCACUACAUGUCUCCUCCCCCACCGGUGUACUCACCACCUCCACCAGUGCACUCACACCCACCACCAAAAAAGCCUUACCAUUACAAAUCUCCUCCCCCGCCAGAAUAUUCACCAGCUCCACCAGUGCACUCAACCCCACCACCAAAGAAGCCCUACCAUUACAAAUCCCCACCACCACCACCACCACACAAGAAGCCUUAUUACCCUGUUCACUCACCACCUCCACCUAAGAAGCCUUACCACUACAAAUCCCCACCACCACCUUCUCCUACUCCUCCUAAAUACUCACCACCUAAGCACCCCUACCACUACAAGUCUCCACCACCACCACCAAAGAAGCCUUACCAUUACAAGUCCCCACCACCUCCUUCUCCUACUCCCCCUAAAUACUCACCACCUAAGCACCCCUACCACUACAAGUCACCACCACCACCACCCCAAGAAGCCUUACCACUACAAGUCUCCACCACCACCACCUCCUCCAGUUCCCACACCAUCUCCACCCAAGAAACCUUACCACUACAAGUCUCCCCCACCACCCCCUCCAGUCUACAAGUCUCCUCCACCACCAGUUUACUCACCACCACCACCACCUAAGAAACCUUACAAGCCACCAACUCCUCCAGCAGUUCACCCACCACACGGUUACAUCUAUUCCUCACCCCCACCUCCUCACCACUACUAGAUAUUGAAAGUUUAAUUGCAUCAAGCUGGUAA